UGGCAAUUUUUGGAAGGCCGUUAAGGCCACC
rnacentral:sRNA from 1 species